rnacentral:lncRNA from 1 species
UUUGUGGUAAUCCACAUGGAUCUAUCCUAACAGUCCUCUGUAUUUAUUCUCCUGCAGAUUGAUCUGAGGAAAGAAUCAACAAUACAGUUCACUGCUCCAUCCUCAUAUCCUGUUAUUACAUUUGGUCCUUUCACUUCUCCUACUGCUGUUCUGGUUUCUCUUUCUCAUGCAGUUGGUAAUCUCCUAGACCAAGCUUUCUCUUCUUCAAGUGCUCCACGUCCUUGUCAAGUUUUUAUGAUGUCAAGAUGACUUCCUCUGUCCAUUUUGCUCUUUCAUGAUUUUCAUGUUGAACCAGGAAACAUAAUACAUAUAAUAUGUUCCUUUGUUUUUUGUGGUUUAAAGGGUAUCUAUUUUUCUAUUAACUCUUCCUUGAGUGAUGCAUGAGUUGAAUUCUGUGUUUCGUUGAGGUAUUUAGAUAUAGAUAUUUUGUUCUCAAAGCUUCUCUGCUAAUACAAUAAUAAGAGUAAUCCUAAUAAAAUAAAAGCAAUCCUUCUUUAAUCAAGCUUAAUGGACGGAGUGACUAAAAGUGUGUUUCGUAUCAUUUUAAAAAACAGUUCUCAAACCUACUUAUGAAAAUGACGGUUGAUGUUCUUCAAAUGAUGUUUACUUGAUCAAAGAAUGCUUUUGGUUGUGACUACUAUAAUUUUUUUGAAAAAAUAAAAUUGGGAGAAUGUAUUUGGUAUUCUUGAAAAUGAGAUUUUUAUAUUAUUGUUAAUGUUAUUAUUUAUCUUUUGGAGUUAAUUCAUUUUCAUAAUUCCCAAAUUCUAGCUAUAAUUUUGAAUAUUCAUUUUUUGUUGUACAAAUUGGUUUCUAGAAAAAACCACUCCUAGUAAAAUUAUACUUUUUGUUUUUGGAAACAUAAAAUCUAUUUGAGAAACAUAACCAAACUCCCAUUAAUAUACUUUCAUGACCUAUAAUGAUCUGUUAUGAGCUUGUUUCAUCGUUUGAGUCCCUGAAUUAUAACAUAACCUAGCUCCCAUUAAUAUAAUUUCAUGACCUAUAAUGACCUGUUAUGAGCUUUUUUCAUCGUUUGAGUCCGUGAAUUAUCAUUGAUGAAAUAGAUAGAGGCCUCCAGUUAAACAGAGCAAUGAUGGCAGAAAUGAAUAGUUCUGGAAUUUUGCAUACUUGUCCAUCUUCAUUUCUUCACAGGAGCUGCAUUGUAGCAGUUAUACUAGUGUUUCAAGAGCUUCUUAGGUCUUUUUAUUUUUUUUUAAUGUAUCAUCUUCACAAUUUUUUUUUUUUAAAUUUAUUCUUCUUUAAAGAAAAGAAAUUUCUAAUUGUAUUUACAUUUAUGGGUUUACAAAAGUGAAAAAGCUGUCCACAAGAACAAUAACAUUUGGCUUGGGCUACUUUGUAAUUGUUGAUUUUUCUUACUAGGGACCGUGUUUAUGCCACCAAAAUGGUCCUUAGGUUACCACCAAUGUCGCUGGAGCUAUGAUUCUGAUAAGAGAGUUCGUGAGGUUGGUUCUUUCUCUUUUUCCCUAUGAAUUUUUCUUCCUGAUUUGCUUCAUCUUUGGAAGAACAACAAAAUUCUGAAAAAUUGUUAUUCCUAAAGUUAUGAUCACCAUUGCACUUUCUACAUCUUCUAUUAUACAUUUUAUGUUGUGCUUUUCUGAUUAUUAACCCACUAUAUAUUCAGAUUUGCAGGACAUUUCGUGAGAAAGGUAUACCGUGUGAUGCUAUAUGGAUGGAUAUCGACUACAUGGAUGGAUUUCGUUGUUUCACUUUUGACAAGGCAUGUUCUUUCUUAAUGAUAUUUCUGGAUGAUAUGUCUAUUGCACCAUUAAUUUACUUAUAACUUAAAAUUAAAUCAACAUUCAUUAAAGCAGUAAAAAGCAAAUAUCAACCCAGAGAAGGAGUUUCGUUAUUUCGUUUAGACUUCCAAAAAUUGUUAAUUAGAGUAGUUGCUAGAACUUCAGUUUCAUUUCAAUGUGCUCGAGACGCAGUAAUAUGAACAAUAUCUGAAACUAAUUCCUCUCAUGAAGGUUAGUAUAUAAAGAUAAAAAAAAUGGUCCCUUUGUUGAUUUGCUGGCCUAGGAUCUGCUAGGACAAAAACUUGGUUAUGGACAACCUUUUUGAACUUCACAAUAGCCACACUAUGUAUUUUUGUUAGAAGGACACGUCUCCUGGCAAGGCAUUGCUAUUACAUAGCUGUAUAUUACCCAUUAUGUGAGAACACUAUAAUCAUUGACAUGGGGAGUGAAUUAUAAUGAUUUCUUUUAGGAGCGUUUCCCAGAUCCAAAAUCUUUGGCUGCGUGUCUCCACCUUAAUGGUUUCAAAGCAAUCUGGAUGCUUGAUCCAGGAAUUAAACAUGAGGAUGGGUACUUUGUGUAUGAUAGCGGCUCUAAAAUUGAUGUCUGGAUUCAGAAAGCAGAUGGGACGCCUUUUAUAGGUACUUCUCUUUAUUUGAUGAAGCUGAUUCUUUAAAUUAAUUUUUUGAGGUGUUAAAGUCACCAAUGUCCUUAUUUCAGGGGAGGUGUGGCCUGGGCCUUGUGUUUUCCCUGAUUAUACACAAUCAAAAGUUCGUUCCUGGUGGGCCUCUUUAGUUAAGGAUUUCAUUUAUAAUGGAGUUGAUGGUAUAUGGAAUGAUAUGAACGAGCCAGCUGUCUUUAAGGUUAUUCUUAUAUUUAUUCCUAUGCACAUGCAUUCUCUUUUAUUUGUAUGUGGUCUUACUGCUUUCUUUCUUUCAGUCUGUAACAAAGACAAUGCCUGAGAGCAACAUCCACAGAGGGGAUGAUGAAAUUGGAGGUUGUCAAAAUCACUCGUACUAUCACAACGUAUAAUUUUUCAACCCUAAUCUGGUGGCUUUCUUCUUACAUGUAAUCUCUUUUGCUAUUAGUUUGUACGUGCAUAGAUCUCUUUGGUUAUGCGAUUUUGCUCGCAAUGUAGUGCCAACCCAUGUGUAUGGUUUUUCCCAUGAUGGCCGUUAUUAACAUGGGUUGCCAAACUUAGGUUUAUGGCAUGCUAAUGGCAAGAUCGACAUAUGAAGGCAUGAAGUUAGCUGAUAAAGAUAAGCGUCCUUUUGUUCUCACCAGAGCUGGAUUUAUUGGUAGUCAAAGAUAUGCUGCCACAUGGACAGGAGAUAACGUUUCAAAUUGGGAGCACCUUCAUAUGAGUAUAUCCAUGGUACUUCAAUUGGUAAGUGUUCAGUUGUUCAUUUUUUCUGUUUUCACAAAGUACUAAUGAGCUAAACGUUUUAUGCCCUAAAUAAUUUAUGGCUUUUCCCCCUGCUAUAGGUGAUGCUUUUGUCUCUCUGAGCAAUCUUUACACUUUCUUUAUAAGGAAGACUUAAGUGCUGUAUGAAUGAUGUAUGUGGAUAAGAAGUUUAGUUUGUGGUCUCUUUCAAGAGUAUAAAUAGUUAUCUUUUGCUUUGUCUAAAACCUGAAAACUGUAGAACCAACCAUUAGGCAGCAUAUUAGAUCAAAGUUGUUUUGGCGUAAUCUUCUAAUUCAUCAUUGAUCCUUGAGAAGGGGUCCUGAAUUUAUUUUUUGAAUUUUGGGUUUGCUUUAUUUGUUUUGAGACAAUUUAGUCCUAAAGAUCCUAUGCUUUUAUCGGAAAGCUUAUCAGUUUAGAAUUGGAUACAACAUUUUUGUGAUCUUUUAGGAGUUCUUUUUUUUGUGAACUCACUCAAUUCUUUGUAUAUCCCUUCUUUUUAGUAUAAGGUUCUUCGUUUCCUAAAAGAAAAUUAUUUUCUCAUUCUUCUUAUUAAAGGUAUUCAACUUUUUUGCCUUCGAUCUUUCUUUAGACUUUUUAUUUUUCACCUAUCAAAUUAUACUAGUUCUUCAUAACCAAAUUCCCUUGACUGCCACAUUAUACCAAUUCUGCAGUCCCUGUUAAUCAUCUUCUUCCUUCAGCUAGGUCGUGAAAUUUAUAUGCUACCUAGAAUUCUAGAGGUUUGUGAUGGUUUAAUUUGGAUGAUGAGCGAUCUUUCAUCAUCUUCAAUCAAUAGGGUUCUUGGAGUAAACCAUGAGGUCAUAUCUUCCCUCUUUCAAUCCUGCUUCAAGUAAUUAAGCUGCAUCUCCUAUUCCUUCCCCCACUCCCCACCAAAAAAAAAAAACACUUUGCUGGAUCUUGACAACCCUUCCUGAUACAUCACUUUCAUCAAUUUUAGUAUCAUAUCAAUGCAGGCUUACAGUAAUUAUUUGUGCCUGGCUAUAGUCUUUUGGCAUUAUCUUGCUUUUCUAUGACUUUUUGUUUAUUAAUCUUAGGCUAUGAGUCUGUCAUCCAGAAAACAUACUAAUGCAAGCCUUCGUUUAACUUUUGAAACAAUGUAUCCUAAAGAUAUUUGCUUAAGUUUGUAUUUGGAUACAAUUCUGACAUCCGACAUUAUCUUCACACACAGCUGGCUUUGCAGAACUGUUUGUCUUGGUUCCCAAUUUUUGAACUGAAUUACUUGGAGGCAACAUUUUUUUUUUCUUUUUUUUUUGGGUUAUUUCUUUCUGACAUAUUCUACGUUCUGAUACAUGAUUUAAUUUGUACUAGGGACUUAGUGGUCAGCCACUUUCAGGACCUGAUAUUGGUGGAUUUGCUGGAAAUGCAACACCUAGACUUUUUGGACGGUGGAUGGGUAUAGGCGCAAUGUUUCCUUUUUGCCGCGGGCACUCUGAAACCGACACUAUUGACCAUGAGCCUUGGUCUUUUGGGGAAGAGGUUUUGUUCUGCUCUAGUGUUUUUAUUAUAACCUUUUUUCUGUUUCAAAAUUGAAUGAGUGGAUUCUUUUAAGUACUACAGGUUACGGAGAAUGAAAUUGCUUUCCUAUUAUUGAUGACUGAAAAGGCCCAAUUAUAUGUUAAAAGGCUAAUUAUGACUGAAAGAACACUUUAGAAACAUUCCUUAUAUAUUGGGAAAACAAAUCAAUUGCCUCUCUUAAGCACAAUAAAAAGUUACAAAUCAUAUGAGAGCUUGUCGUAUGUAUGAAAAAAAUCUUGAACUGUCAGAUUUUAUGAAAUGUUCUAUUUCUGGGCAAUGGGGUAGACUGCAGCUGGGCAGCAAAAGUAUUUAAGCAGAAUGAUGCUGACUAACUAAAUGAAAACCGAUUUAAUCUGCUUUCUUUGCUUAUUAAGUACUGCCUUAAUUUAUUUAGAGCGUAGUUGAUCUUACUAAAGGGGGUUUCCUGUGAAUAUGCAUGCUUGAUCAAAGCACAUAAACUAAACAUUGAUUCGUUCUCGCUAAUUGUGGUGAGAACCCCGGUGUAAUACCUUGCAUAAACUUUAAGUUAUAUCUACUUCGUGUCCUCAUAAAGAAUGGUGUCAAGGUACAAUCAAGAGGUUGUUUGAUCGAACUAUAUGUUGUGUCCAUUGAGUUAGAUCUGAGGAGAUCUAUGGUAAAGCUGAUAGGUGAAGGACCCAACAAUAGAAUUUAACUUCUUACACACCUAUAAUGCAAGGCUUGUGAACUAAACACAAUAUAGAACAAAAUAAACAUUUUUGUUGAUGUGCUUUUGCAUGUCAACCAAAAGAAAAACAGCACGAACCUUAAUAACUGCAAAAAGCUUUUUUUAAUAACAAUGAGAGGAUUCGAACAAUAGAUUACCUGGUCAAAUUUAAACUGAUGGCUAAAAGCCAAUAAUUGCAUUUAACUUCUAUCAAUUGUUUUACAUUAAACAAGUGAGAUUUACUACCUACUCUAACAUUUACUUUAAUUUUUGUUUCUGGUGACAAUUGGUUGUGUUUCCUUUGGGUUUAUUUGAUGUUAACUUGAGUAUCUAAAAGUAAUGAGAGUUCUAUUUCUUAGUGUGAAGAAGUUUGUCGGCUGGCCUUGAAGAGGCGCUAUCGCUUUCUACCUCAUAUAUACACUCUAUUUUAUAUGGCUCAUACAACUGGCACUCUUGUGGCAAGUCCAACCUUUUUCGCUGGUAUGUCCUUGUGUGAGUGUAUUGGUUUUGUUCCUUGUGGAGCGUUAUGAAAAGUUUACCUUUUUAUACUGGCUUUAAAACAAAUGUAAAUUGCCUGUGCAGAUCCUGAAGAUCUCACCUUGAGGAAACUUGAAAAUUCAUUUCUAUUGGGUCCGGUUUUAGUUUGUGCAAGGUUCUUAUUCUCUUCCUUAGACAUGACAUACUUGAUGACAGUAGGAUAGUGUAUAUGCCUUAGUUUCCCAUUUUCAUCCUGGUUUUAUGCCUUAAUCUCCUUCUCAUCUACUUGACCAUGAUUAUCGAAUUUUACUUGUGAUUUGAUUUUCCUGCUGAUAGCAUGGUUAUCUUCAUUCUAAAUAUUAUAUCAAUGUUAACCAACCACUGGCCGACCCUGGUGUGAAUAUAACUCGAACUUAGUCCUGUUGUCCCACCCUGAGAGAUUUUACCAAUUAAACCAAAUAUUUGAAUUUAAUAAUUGUGCCCUUUGUUUGGUGCACAACGAUAUUUAGUUUUUUUAAAAUUGUUGAAAUAUUAACACCUUUCCAUACAAAAGAAUUCAAUCUCUCAAUAUAAUUGUGGGGGGAUGCUUUUGAAGAUAUAGCCUGGUCUCUCAUGUCUCACUUGUCAUAUCAAGUUAACUAUCCAAAGCAACAGAAUGCCAAUUGCACGAUUUUAGUGACAGAUUCUUUAUGCAACAAUGUUCAACAGCUUAUUUCCCUUUUCUGAGAAUUAUCCUUCUCUGAGAGAGUUACAUACUUAUCUUAUUCAAAAUCAUCAAAAUGAAAUAUUGUUUACUUUCGUGUAGUCAUUUCUGUUCUUGAUUUGAUGUCAUUGUUCUAAAACCACUUCUUUCUUUCUUUAUUGAAUAUAUCUUUCUAGUUUUUUAUCAAAGAAAAAGAUAGUGUAUCACCAAGAUAUUUUCUUUCGUGUACUGGGGAAAGUAAGAAAAUCAAAUAAGAAAAAAAUAAAUAGGAAAAUGUCACAUUAUUAUUUACUUUCUUGAUUUUGUUUUUGUGUGUUGAACCCUUUUAAAUUUGUUUGAACUGUUGGAUUCUCUUGAUGUCAUUCUUCUCAUGGAUUGUUAAGAGUGGGGUUAAGUUGGCGGACCUUGUAUUUUGCUUCUUGUCAUGCAUAUACUAACAUCCAUAUUUCUUCUUAAUUAGCACAUUGCCUGAUCAGAGGUCAGAUAAGUUGCAGCAUGCACUACCCAAGGGAAUUUGGCAAAGUUUUGAUUUUGAAGAUUCACAUCCGGUAUCUGUUCUUGGACAUUUAUCUGUAUCCAUUAAAGUCAUGUCUGUUUUCCCCUUUUUUAAAUGAAUUUUGAUGUUUUCCCCCUUUUGCUCUUUUUGUAAUAUACCAGGAUUUACCCUCUUUAUAUUUGCGAGGUGGAUCAAUUUUACCUUUAGGUCCUCCGCAUCAGAAUAUCGGUGAAUCUAAGCCAUCUGAUGACUUAACACUUCUGGUGGCUUUAGAUGAGAAUGGUAGUUUUGAUACAUUAAAUUUUUGUAGAACAACUUUAAAUUUGAAGCUAAUAAUUUCAUGAAAUGUUUAUCAUGCGAUGUAGUUCAUAUUCUAAAGCAUUCUAUUUGCCUGCUGAUUUUUCUGGUUUGAUUUUUUGCCUACAAGAUUGCAAUCCUAUGUGAUGGUUUAAGCUGCCUACAAUUUUUAUUACUAUAAUUUGAAGGUUUUGACUGGGAAAAUAGUAGGUUUGAUGCUUUUAAGUUAAUAAUUUCUUUAAACUGUUUGUCCCCAUGGCAAAAUAUUAAUGUAGAAUAACCAGAGAGAUAACACCUGAAACAUUGAUCUUGCCGGCAAUCAACCACCUCCAUGUCAUCACCAACAGCACCAGUGAUUUUUCUGGCAAUCAAACUGUUCUUUCAUUCAUCAGUCAUCUUCAGCCCACACCAUUACUUCCAUUGGUUAUACACAUGGUGUAAUGUUGCCGACCUAGAAUUGGUUCCUGGCUUUUGCCAGAUUCAGGUUCUUUUUCCAGUCUUUUGGGCUUUGAAAUCUUGGGCCAGUUUUUGUAGGCCUUUUUUGGUCAGGCGCACUUGUUUUUAAAUAUUUUGCCAUGGUUGAUUUUCUUGAAAUUGUUGAGUAACUUGCAUUUUGAUCCAUGUCUACAAAAUUCUGAUCAUAAAGUAAAAAUAUGACAAAAUUUUGUCAACUUGAUCAUGCUCAAGAUGAUAUUACUCCACUUUGUUUUCUUCUUUUUAGAGAUCUGUCCUACAUCAAUACGCUUUCAUGCGAGUUUGUGAAAUGACUAAAAGUUUGAUAGCCUUUCCAACUUUAUUGCAAUGCUAUUGAUCCUGCUUUCCUUUAGCUUCUGUAUAACUUGCUUAUUUUCUCUUAUUUUCUCUUACAGGCAAAGCAAAAGGUGUUUUAUUUGAAGAUGAUGGUGAUGGAUAUGGAUUCACUGAAGGUCAAUAUCUGCUGACAAACUAUGACGCUGAGCUUCAGAUGUCAGAGGUUACUAUUAGAGUUUCCAAAUCUGAAGGAUUAUGGAAAAGGCCAAAACGUCGUCUUAUUGUAAAAAUAUUACUUGGUGGAGGUGCAGCGGUUUGUCUUCUUUCGCUGAGAAACAUUCAUUAAAAUCCUACAUUAUGCUUUUGUUAUUUACCUUCUAGAGCAUCUGUUUAAAAGAUUUUGAGUAACUGAACUCUUGCAAAAACAGAUUGAUACAUGGGGAAUGGAUGGAGAGGAUUUGCAAAUUGCAAUGCCGUCAGAAGCUGAAGUGUCUAAUUUGGUAUCGGCGAGUAAGGAAAAGUACAAGAUUCGUAUGGGUAAUGCUGCUUCCUCAAGCCGUCUGACGCUCACUCAUUCAUUGGAAUUAUCCACAAAUUACUAAUUGUUGAUUUCUUUUUCAAUUUUCCAAAAAAUUACUUUGAGAGAUUUUAGUGUGCUUUUCCAUCCUCUUCAAUUAAGUAGAUUUACAUUGCAAAUUCAACUUUCAUGUUCGUGAACAUUCUGAUGUUCUUAUUGCAGUACUUUGUUCAGUCACAUAUCUUCAAUCAUAUUAUUUGAUUAGGUAUCUUUCUGGAAAUUGCAUUAUUAUUCACGCAAUUUUAUGGCUUCAUGUGUGUGAAACUAAACGUUGGGUUCUGAGUCAUGGUUUCUAAGCUUUUCCUGGGGAUUUCUUAUAGAUAGUUCCUUGUCUGUUCUUUACUGACGGAUGGUUUGAGUUGAGAGGUUAAAACUACAGGAAUUCUUACAUUUCAGAUUUUUUCAAUUUCUGCUUGUAGAGCAAUUUUUAUAAAUUGGAUAGUACUUGCAGAACUUAAUCACUAGGCCUCAACACCAUUUAUUUAUGAAAUUCUCUCAAAAUGUAAUUUUUUAAUGUUCAUGGCCAUAUUGCCCCAGUAAAUAUGCUUUUAAUUGCAGAAUUCAUUAUCUUGUUCCUGAUGUGCGAUUGUCAGAAGAAAAGAAAAUAGUUUGAAGAAAUCUUCUAUAAUUUGUUAAUUUCUAUAAAUUGUGUUGAGGACUUGAAAGUGCUAGGAAUUUGAUUGACUAAACUUUAAAAUCUUUACUAGUGUUCAUGUUGGUUCUAAUGAGGGUUUUUAUUUACAGAAAGUGCUAAGCUAAUUUCAGAUGCGGAAAAGGCUUCUGAACACAAGGGAGUAGAUCUUUCACAGACCCCUAUUGAACUGAAAAGCAGUGAUUGGGCUCUUAAAGUUGUGCCUUGGAUUGGGGGUAGAGUUAUUUCCAUGGCACACCUUCCUUCAGGUAAUUCAUUAUCAUUGUUUUCCUUUGAGUGGGAUGACAUCAGUGGUCUUUCUCCCUCUCUCUUUUGGUUAAAGUUGUACCUGUUGAGUUUAUUCUGGCUGUUGUAUCUCGAACAUAUGUGAGAUACUUCAUUGGGCACCAGGGGUCUUUCUCCCUCUCUCUUUUGGUUAAACCCCAAGACAAAUUGGGCAUUUUUUUAGUUUUUCCUUGGUGCAACUUUGAGUCUAACGGUCAUCUUACCUCCUUGAAGUCCUAAGUUGCCAUUUUUUACUGUAUUCUUUACACGUAUGAAGACACUGAUGUUAGAUUAUCAAAGGAGAAAAAAAUGAUGGAUCUCUAGAUACGUUUUCUUUACAAGUACUUUAAAGAGGCAUUUCACUAAAUUUGGAAUAAUUCAAAAACAAAGAUGGAAAAGAAUACUUGAAUUUGUUCCAGCAUAAACAUAUUUUGAAAAUUUGUUAGCUGUUUGCUGCUUGAAUGUCCUUAUCUGCCUUAUGCCCCAGGCUACAUGAGAUUUCUUAUUUGAAGAAUGUUAGAAUGUACUUUCAUUUCUAGUAUUAUCUUCUUGACUAUACACAUUCUUGUGCGAAAGUGAUACAUUGCAUGAAAGAGUGUUUUCAGUCAUGCACAAAGAAGAGUGUUUUUACAAGUAACAUGUGCAUGCAUAUGCGUGCGCGCAGGCAGAUAGAAAUUUUACAGUUCAGUGGAACCUGACCAAAUCAGUUAAUUAUUCAUUUGUAUUUCUAAUGUGUGAAACAUUAUGUUAACUGCUCAUCCUUUGACUCCAAAGUUAUUAUGUUGACAGGAACACAGUGGCUUCAUAGCAGGGUUGAGGUUAAUGGGUAUGAAGAGUAUUGUGGUACUGAAUACCGGUCUGCUGGAUGUACUGAAGAAUACAGUGUCGUAGAGUGAGUUUCCGAUUAAUAGGUUUAAAACGUCAUUUCUUUUUUCGAAGAAGCAUAAUUUAAAUAAUUAAGACUCGUAAUGAUAUAAUGCUUGCUGAAAUGGGACCUAUAAAGUCAAAGAGCCAAGCAUUUGAUUGAAUUGUUGACAAAUAGCAGUAGGAUGUGUUUGUUUUAUUUAAGAUGGAGUGUUAGAAAAUCAUGCUCUAUCUUUCUCUGCUACGCUAAAAUAUUAUCCACCUGAUAAUAAAUUUGUUGUGGCUGCUUGUCGUGCUCAAUGUUCCUUUUUCUGUUUGUGUUAUGCUUCUAUCACCUUUUCUUCUGUUGUAGGAGGAGUCUUCAGCAUGGAGGAGAAGAGGAAUCUCUCAUGUUAGAAGGUGAUAUUGGCGGUGGGUUGAUUCUGCAGAGGAAGUUAACUAUUCCCAAAGAUAAUCCAAAGAUCUUUAAGAUCGAUUCUAAAAUUCUAGCCGGCAGAGUUGGCGCUGGUUCUGGUGGCUUUUCAAGGUGUGUUUCAUUGUUAUCUUUUGUUUCUUUUCGACACUGCUACUUCUAACAGUGCUAAUUCUGUAUCAUUUGGGACUGUCUGUGGUUUAUCAUUUGAGAAGUACUAAUUCUGUAUCACUUUGAUAAUGGUCGAAGUCUUAAGUGAUGUAGGUCAGUACUCGAAAAAGAAAGCGAAAGGAGACAAUAGAAAGAAUAACAGUAAGUAGGGGGAAUGAAGUAAGAAAUAACUAGGAAGAAGAUGAAAAGAAAGAAUAUGAGAGAAACGUCUGUUUUCAUUAUGUCAAUCAAUCAUCCACCCCCCACAAUCUGGGUCAGCAGAUUUAGUGGGCAACUCCUGAGUCAACUAUUCUUAUAAUAAUAACAGCAGCUAUGUCAUGUAACUUCAUUCCCAAAAAAUGAAACACUUUAAAUGUGUACAUCUUUGCUAUGUACAAUUGCAGUCAUACUCUCAAGCCUUCAUCCGAUUUGUUGUGGGAAUACAAGAUUAGUAUACUUUUGGAGGUUUGAGAGUGAGAGUGACACUCCCUUAUUUACCACAUAAAAUUAGUAGAUAAACUGAAAUAUUAUUGUUACACAAAGGGAGGCUAAAAGGCUUCUAUAUUAAUAUUUUAAUAUGUGUAAUAUUAUUGUUUCUGGAAAUUCAAGUAUUCGAUUUUUCUCUUUAAAAAAAUUAAAGAGAAAUUGCCUCCUUGACUGCUUUUCGCAAUAUGAAAAGCUCGUCGCAACUUGUGUGCGUGUUAUGGUUUUCUUGUUUAUCUACACAAACUCUGCAACUUUUACGUUCUGCUGCAGGCUGGUUUGCCUGAGAGUGCACCCCAUGUUCACCCUUCUGCAUCCAACAAAAUCUUUUAUCUCAUUUACCUCCAUUGAUGGGUCGAAGCAAGAAAUUUGGCCAGAAUCUGGGGAGCAGUUUUAUGGAGGAAACCUUCUGCCUAAUGGUAGUACUUUAUACUUUCAAUCUUAUUUUGGUUUUAUGUCAAAAAGUGUGGCAUUGUCUACUCAGUCAAAAUGUAAAAGGACUAUUAAGAAAGGCAGUAUACCGAAGGCAUAUAAGGAUGAACACAAAAAUUUUGGUUUCCCUUUUAUUUUUUAUUUGUUUCUGCAAUUGUUCUUCCAACUGCUUCCCAAGUGAAUCAUUGUUUAAAAUUGUUUUCAGAGGUUAAAAAAAAGAUCUUUUGAAAUCAAAUGUGAUGCUGAUAGAUAUUUUCAAACUCAAGUUGUGACACUGUUUGCCUCACCAUUUAAAAGAAUUGACAAUAAAUUUGUUUUGUAUGUGAUUUUGAUUUCAGGCGAGUGGAUGCUUGUGGAUAAGUGCCAAGGUCUGGCACUUGUUAAUAGAUUUAAUGUCGAGGAAGUUUUCAAGUGUUUCAUCCACUGGGGAACAGGAACAGUCAAUUUGGAGCUCUGGUCUGAACAAAGGCCAGUUUCAAAGCAGUCACCUCUUGCGAUUUCCCAUGAAUACGAGGUGAUAAAAAUUCCAUAGGCACUCGUGCAAAAUUCUGCAAAAUAUUCCGAACGGUCAAAGGAGUGUUCUGAACUUGAACAAAGUAAGACUGAAUGUUUGGCUGGCAGAAUGUAAAUAUCAAUCAGCUGAGCCUAAUAAUAAUCGAUCUCCACGUUACUUGUUAGUGUCUUGUGCAACUCGAUAUAAUUUGGUGACUUGUUAAUGCCUGAAUAUCUUUCCAAGACUUCAACGAGCAUAGAUUUGUUUGUUUUAGAGGAAGCAACCAUUAGAUGGAAAGGUAAGCAGCACAAGCUUUGUUAGCUCGAGGAUGGUGAGUGUGGGGCUAAUGCAUAGGAUGGGAAUUGACAAGAGAAAAAACUAUGAAUUGAGAUGGCAUGGGAUAUAAUAAGCUCAUGAACAAUUAGGCGCAGAAUAAAUAUUUACAGGUGGUGGCAUACAUCUACCAAUUUUGAUGGCAUAGGAAUAAUAAGUCUCUUUCAAUAGAAAAAUAGCAAUUCAUAUGCUGCUUCAAAUUCAUGUUUAAACAGACUCGACUCUUAACAAACAUCAACGGACCACAAAGUUCAGUUACUCCACAAACAUUUACAAAUCCAACAAAUACCAUUCGUAUGCUCAAAAGGGUUUUAUUGUUACCAAUACUACAACCGUAGUAAAAUUCAUGUUACAUUUGAAUUCUGACUCUUUUCAUCAUUGGUUCAGUGACUGAUACCCCAAUGGAGCUGGAGAUUCCCUCAAUUGACGCCCUUGGUAAUGUAUGUCCUUAUUGUUAUAUUAUAUUAUAUCGAUAUUACAAUCAAAGUCCACCGAAGUAGAUUUGUACAAUUUAUAACAAGCUGGGAUCUAUCGAAUUUAAUUAACAAAUCUACUCUAAAUAAGAGUGAGAAUCUCCAUUUCUAUAAGAGUGUUUUACCACUAUAGUCUAUAGAUACGUAAUGUGUUUGCUUUAAACAUAGCAAUGUGAUGGCGAUGUGAUUCUAAUGUUAUAAUAACAUUUGUUUGUUGGAAGGAAACAAUGAUGUGAGGCUGUUGAAGCACGCAUGAUGAUGACGAUGAUAAUUGUAGUCUUUGAAAUAUUUUUACUUUACUAUAACUGGAUCAUUUUUUUCCCAUGAAAGUUCGGUUUUGCGACCAAGACUCUUUUUUCCCUAUUGCACUCAAAAUUUCUUUAAGAAAAACCACCUGGUGAAAAGCAAUAGAGUAGGAUUAGGGUUAAUUUUAUUAUGCUAUGCAAACUCUGUUACAAUGCAUUGUGUUUGUUGCAAGAAUUAAAACUUAAAAUUAUCCUAAUCUCUGUCUAAGCUUCAAUUUAAUUGAUGGAAGCUUAUAUUCGAUUAUGUUUCUUCAACAAUUUAGGGGAUAUAUUGAUGAGCUCAAAAGAAUUUGAGGAAUGCUUGGGGACUCAAUAUUUGAGUUUUAACUUGGGUUACAAUGUCAUGUUUCACUCAUGUAUUGCAUGAUAAAUAUAAAAUUAAUUAUUACUUUAUUUGAUCAUCUCAUAAAUGUGAUAUCACUUAUGUGUUGGAUGAUGAAUGUAAAAUUAAUUAUUACUUUACUUUACCAUCCCAUUAAUGAAUAUCACAUUAGUUGGGAUUCAAAUUAAGGUAGUGUUUUUUUUUUUUUCGUCUGAAAUCUGAAUGGGUUUGAAUUUGACUGGAUUCUGAAUAGGUCUGAAUAUAUAUAUAUAUCUAAAUGAUAUGUUUGUUUUUUCUUUUUUCAAUAUCUGAAUAUAAGUGUUAACUUGUUUGUUUUAUUGGAUAAACACAUGACAAGUUAUAAAUAAAUUAUUUGAUUAGUAAAAAAAAAAUUGAUAAUUUUUAUCUUAACAAAGCAUGAAAAGUAAAAUAUAUAUCAAAUACACAUACUUUUCUACAUUGACAUAUGAUACAUAUAAUGUUAUUUUUAGCAUUUUAUAAUGAUAUUUUUUCUUGUUAAUCAUAUAAGUCAAUCAAUAAUUGUUUAAUCAUUGGAAUUAAAAUUAAUGUAUUAAAUAAAAUUCAAAAUCUAUUAUAAAAAUAGUAAAUAUAAAAAUUGAGAAAUGGACCUAUUAUAAAAUACAUUCACCUAAAGUUCUCUUUGACAAAAAAAAAAAUUAGUAAUAGUUGAAUACAUGUACAAAAAAAGGAUAAAUAAAAAAUAAUAAAAGGAUAGUUUAUAUAAUAGAAAAUAAAUUUAUUUAAUAGGGUAUUAAUAAAAAAGAAUUUUAAAGUUCCAUUCACAUGUUUUGCCAUUCAGAUAAAAAUAAGAUUAUUUAACUUUUUCAUUCAAAUCUAAACAUAAUCAGAUAUAAAUGAUAAAAAACAAACAAAAUAAAAACCGUAAAUAUCUUAAAAAAAAUUAAGAUUCAAACUUCAGUUAAAAAAUAAAGAAACAUUAAAACUUAAAUAUUGAGACACCUAACAUUACUUAAAAGAAUUUAAAAUUUAAUGUACAUAACUCAAAAGAAUUUAGAAAGAUUACAGAUCCUAGUCAUGCUUGAAAAUGACUUGACAUUUUAUUAUCCUUUCUGUUUACUUAUUGCUAGGUCUAAUACCCAACAACAUCAUUGUCAUACUAAUGACUUACAAUAGUCCUUAAUUAUUAGUUUUUUCACUUGAUAUCUACCCAUGCUUUUGGGCUGUGUACUGACAAUUAACGCAAUAUAGUAAUAUGGCUAUGUAACGAUUAAUGCAAUUGAGUAAUAUGGGAUGCUGUGUAGGGUAAAAUCAUAAUUUAAAAUAAAUAAAACUAUAUUUCUUAGAAAUUUAACGAUUGGCACCAUGGUCUCAUACUAAUUUGUCGUCAUUGUUGCCAAUCUGCCCUCGUUGUUGUCGACGCCGAUUUUGCUCAAGGUUCCCGCCAAUUAUUUUCCAAGAAUAUAUGAGAAAAUGAAAUAUUUCUUUCUCUAUUUGACCUACGACAACAAAAUUAGAUCCAGUAAUUUGUGCACCGUACAGUAAAUACUUAAGGAUUUUUAUUUUUCAUCUAACGGCUGAGAUUUAUUGUCUCUAAUUUUUAUGGAUCGAACUUAGAUAUUAAUGCCUGUUAAAGGUUCAAAGUUGAAAAGAAGCACAAUAAUUGAGAUGUAAAAUGGGAUUAGAUUCUUAUUAAAUAAGGUUGAAUCUUAAUUUCAAAACUAUGUGGCUGAAUCUUAAUGUUUAAAACUAUGUAUUAUAACCACCUACACUUCCUUAGCUAAUUCGCAUACUUUCUUGCCUAAUUUUUAUGUUUUCUUUUGCUUCUUCAAUUCCUGUGCUUCAUUUUCUACAAAGAAAAAGUGUGCUUUGGAAGUUUUCGGCUAGCUAACCAAAUGAAAAAAAAAAAAAGUAAUGAAGAAUUCGAACAGGAAUUUUACUUGGACAAAUUAUUCACUAAUGAAAAAUUAGUUCUACAUUAUGUAAAUGGACAAAUUAUUCCCUAUUAAAAACUAGAUCUAUGUUGUUUAAGUCACCCGAGGCGAAUUUAUGGUGAUCUAAGAAGAAGCAAAUCAAAGAAGAACCCGCAAAGUUGGUUGGUGUGAGUGGUUCGGCACUCUCACUCCUUAAGAGAGGUCAGGGGUUCAAGCCCCACUCUCGUAUGGAGUCACCACUUUGGCCAGCACUUUACCCCUUAUGGGCCGACCCGGUGCGAGCGAGGAUUAGUCUGGGUUGUGGUACGGGCUUAAAGGUGCCUCCCACAGUUGGGGUCCACUCAGGACCACCUCGUGGUUCAAACCAAAAAAAAAAAAAAAAAGAACCCGCAAAGAGAACCAGAGGUGCUUGCAUGCAGAAGAACCAGCGAUGGGUAAAUAUUUGAGCAGGUAUUCCUUCGCUGCUUAACCAGUAUUCCUCUUGAAAAGUAUUAUACAUCCUUUCAAGUGCUUAUCUCUGUGUCCACAUUAGUGACAAGCUUGGUUAUGUUAUGUGAAUGAACUUUAGUUUUGUAAGAGGAGAAAUCAUGGUCAGCCAAUCCUUCUACGUAUGGCCUACUUAAAUCCAUAUAGCCUGCACAAUACAAGAGAAAUCAAUACUAUUUUAAUGUCUUGUACUGCCAAUGCACACACUCGACCUUCCCCGGCCAAUGCAUCCAACUUUCCAGCUCCUCCGAAUCCUUUGCUUCUUUCUCCAGAAACAAAAAGCGUGCCGUGGAAGCUCAAAUGGGGGAAUUCAAGCGCGAAUUCCAUAUGGAAAAAAACUCUAAACCUUGCCGCAUGGAGAAAAAAUAACGCUAAUGGCAGCCACCAAACUGAAUAAAUUUGGCAAACAAACCCAAAAGUGUUGCGCUUUCAGUGUCUUAGCCGAUCAUUGAAUUCGACAUUAUUUUGCACUAGUCAUCACAAACUUCGAGCAUAACAAACAAUUACAUUGUAUAAUUUUCGGGGCCUUGAUUGAAUAAAACUAAAAGAUAAUCUUUUACAAUCACAUCUCUAGAACAUAACUGAUUUUAUUGCAAAAAUGCUUCUCUCCAGCAGGACCUAAAUAUCCAGUAUACAAAAAAUUAAAACAGUUAUAGCAUAAUAAAAUGGCAAAUUUUGAGUAUUUUCAUUUAGAGAUACAGUAAAAUCUCUCUAUAAUUAUAAUGUUGGAACCAAACUAAUUUUAUUAAUGAUGAGUUUAUAACUUAAUAGAAGUGCAGUUAUAGAAAUUAUUGUUCCGACUUAAUUAUUCUUAGUGUACAUGAUGUAAAAAUAAAAUAUACAUAAAGUUAAAUAAUUAAUUAAUAGAGCAUAUUCUUUCUUCCAAAAAAAAUUAAUAGAGCAUACCAAAUCUAAUUUAUAAGCAUUAAUUGAAAGAGAUAAACAUAAUUUCAAAAAACUAGCAAUUUGUUUUUUUGGUAGUCUACAAAUAUUUAUUAAUGCGUGGAUUAAGUUACUUAAGAUGAGAUAUAGAAAAUGAUAACUAAUUAUAAUAUAAACUUUAUUCUUACUUAUAACUUACCCAAAUAUAAACAAAAAAAAAAAAAUUACGCCUAAAUGAUAGUUAUUCCUUUGAUAGCAAAUCAAUCCUUUUUUUUUAUUUUUUUGGUUUGACUAACUAGGAACGAUUUGCUGUUGGGCUUAUAUCUACAUAAUAUUAAAAAUAUUACAGUAAACUUGUUCAGGUUAGUUUUUUUUUUUGUAGUGUCUAGAAAUAGUCGACUCUAAUUUACUAAGAACUUAUUGCCGUUGAAAUGACGUCAUAAGUACAACUUAGAGUCUAUAUUGACGACCUGGUUUAUAAGUACGAAAUGAGGUUUACAUGAAUGACUUGGUCUAAAAAUACAACAUUAAGCCUAUAUGAGCGACCCAUAAAUUCACUAGUCCAAUCUGGAAGUAAAGUAAUCCGAUCUCAAAAUUUAUUUGUCUGACCCAAGAAUUAGCUUGACAUGGAAAAUUAUUGCUCAAGAUAACGUGGCCUAAUUUCUAGGGAAGUUGUGUGCCAUGAUUUAUUUAAACCACCUCUAACUGACAACUACUUGCAACUGCUGAAGAAAGUAUACUUAAACUAAGGAGGUAAAGCUGAAGAGGGCAUCAGAGGAAGGGGUUAGCAAAAUUAACAAAAAAGCUCAACAAGUGACUAAUCUUCAAGCCACUCUAUUUUUUAGGAGAUUCACACCACCACCACCCAAGAAUUCCUUGAUUCUAUCUCACCUCCAAUUCCUCUUUUUCAUUUUCCAUUUUCUUAUAUACAAAACAUCUGACUUAAGUAUAGGAGAAUUUUUGAUGGACCCAUAGGCAUAUUUGACUUUAUUUUGUGGUUGGCAGGCAUAGGAAAUUGCGGUCGUAUUGUAGCUUGAGUUUAGAUUCGUGUUGUUAUUCCCAAGAAAACAAAUUUAGCUGUUGAGUCGUUUUUCAGCAUCAACAUCUUGACACCAUAUGUGGCGAACGGUGCGAGAAGCCAUACGUUUGAAGAUUUAGUAGGGAACACCAUAGUAUUAGGAAAUGGCGAUGAAUGAUGAUGAUGGAGAUAGGCAAACCUUGCACUAAUUGGUAGACGAAAUAAAUGCCACUGCGGACAAGAGAUGGAAAAAAGGGAUCGAAAGGCAAAUGGCAAGAUUUGAGGAGAUAAUUAAAGGGCUAGUUGAUGCCCAAGUCAGAGGGACUCAAGUUCGAACUAGUGAUCUAGAAAGUAGCAGAGCACGGGAGAGAGAGGAGCUUAGUGGUGAACAACAGAGUGAAAUAGGCUUACCUCAAAUUAAGGUAUGAUAGAAGAACACAAGUGCCAGAGAACAAGUGAAUGAGUUGCGGGGGAGAAUCAAUGACUUGAAUCAUGAAAGGGAGAGGGAAGAGCUAAGAAACCCCCAAUGGGCAAAUGAGCUUGAGCAACAAAUGCUGCAAUUUCAAAAAAACUCUAGAGGCAUUAGAGGCGAAAACAGAGGGUAAAAAAGUGAUAGGAAGAUUGUUACUUGACGACGAAUCCCUCCCUAAUACCAGAGGUGAUGACGGUAACUUUGUCAUCUAAGUAGGUAGUUCUAGCCUUGGUGCAUAAAGAAAAAAUUGACCCAAAUCAUCAUGUGGAGAGGUUUAAUGAGAUGAUCGGGAUUCAAGGUUUGAAUGAUUUUCAAAGGUGCCAUGUUUUUCUCCUAAUUCUAGAAGGACAUGCACAUGAAUGGUACCAGAGACUAAUAUAUAUAUAUAUAUAUAUAUAUAUAUAUACACACACACACACACACACACACACCAAAAUAAUGGAAAGAAAAUACAAAAGAUGAUUUUAUUACAACAAGCGAGAAUACAAGAUUUCACCCAAAGACUCUUACUACAACUUAAGACUCCAAGACUCGAUGAUCCAACACACAACUAGGGAGUCCCUUUUAUAGGCUCCAAGAGAAUCUCCUUUUACUAUCUAUAUCAUUAUAUCUUAUCCUUAAAAAAUCUACUUUAUGACUCAUCACUACUUUAUAUUACAUAACUCACUUCAUCCUUAUCUCUAAAGAAUCUACUUUACAACUCAUUACAUAUGACACCACACAAUUAUUACUUAUUUAUUGGUUAUUAUUCACCAUUGCUUCCGCUGGUAGGGUCUACUUCGCUUCCACUCAGCUAGUGCUGCUUUCCUCUGUAGACCACGCGCGGUGCAAACGUUCUUCUUCCCACGGGGCGAGUUACUGCUCUAUGAGCUAGUUUUCAUCUAUUAUCUCACAGUUGAGGGUGUGAGAGGACUGUGGGUGUUGUAUAAUGGUUAUGUGUUGUUAACUUCUCCUAGUGCUCUUCUUGCGUGUAAGCAUUCAUUCCACAUUUUAUAAUGUUCAUCCACAGUAUGAUCAUGAUCUACAACUCUGGGUAGAGGUGGCUUGUCUCGUUCCCAAAUAUCUCUUAACUUUACUAUGAUUGUAGUAGUUUGAGAUAUUUGAUAGCCAUUGAUUGGCUUCAGUGUAAGGAGAUUUUCAUAGAUUGGAGCAAAAAGUCUAUCAAAUCACCUUCCAUAGUUGUAUCGUCGACUCCUGCGAAUGACAUGAGGCUGAAAUAGAAUAGACAUGGGAUACAUGUUGAGGAGUAACUAAAAGGAGUAAUAUGCUUGCGGCAUAGCAUCACAAAUCACAUAAUGUUCCUCAAUUGGUGUCUUUGUCACUCACAUGAUGGAAAUAUAGAUGGGGUUGGAAGACAAACUGGAGCAUUUGGUCUAUGUUUGGAUGAGGAUUGAACAGCAUGUAGGGCAACAACUUUUCUCCAACUUUUCUUGCUGGUUUAAAUUCAAGGUUAUCUAUUAAGUGAAAAAAAAAAGACCUCACGGUAUUUUAAAUUUCGUUAAAAAAAAUUUACUGGUAAGUGCCCAAUAAAUUUUCAAACAUGUCAGGUGAUUCGAUUCCUCGCCAACCAAAUCAUCCGAACACUAUCCCGCGCUUGUUCUAUUUGAUUGAAGUUCUCCAGAAUCAGAAAACUGACACGCCACUUUUCCUGUUCAUCACCAAUUAGAUUUUGGACUCCAUCACUGCACUAUGGUAGUGUUUACUUUUUGGAGUGGGAGUGUGGAGUGUGGAUUCCUCCCACUCCAGUAUUUACUUACCUUAAAACAGGGAGGAGUGGGAGUGGGAAUUGUGGGUCCCACUCAAUUUUGAAGUGGGGAGUGGGAUUCCCACUCCCAUGGGGGGAGGUGGGAGUGGGAAUCCACUCCCCCCUCUUCCCAUUUUAUCCUUAUAAAAAUAAAUAAAUAAAUAAUAUUUAAUAAAAUAAAUAAAUAAUAUUUAAUAAAAUAAAUAAUAUCAUAUUUAAUAAAAUAAAUAAUAUCAUAUUUAUUAAAAAUAAUAAUUAUAUCAUAUUUAUUUUAUUAAAUUUAAUAAAAUAAAAAUAAAUAAAUAUUAUAUUUAAAUUAAUAAUAUUAAACAUUAAUUUUAAUAAAUAUUAAUUAUUUAUUUAAUUAAUAAUAAUAAAUAUUUUAUUCUAAAAAAAUAUUAAUUUUGUACUAUAUUAUCAAUAAUAAUAUUUCAUUUGUGUUGCUAUUAUUAAUAAUUUUUAUUCACAUAAUUUAAAUUUAAAUUAAUAAAAAAAAUUAUGAUUUACAUAAUUAAGAAUAUUAGUAAUUAUUAUUAAUUUAUAAAUAUAAUAAAAUAUUUAUUUUAUUUUCUAAAUAUAUUUUUUAUUAAUUUUUUAAUUACAAAUUAUAAUUCUGUACAUAAAGAUAAAAUUAUAAUUUAAAAUAAUUUACUCCCAAUCCAAGAUAAAAUAAACAAAUAAUUAGAAUUUUGAUUGACAAUCUAUCUUUUCAUUUAGUUUAAGUAAACACCCUACUCCCACUCAUACUCCACACUCCUAAUCUAAAGAUUCCCACUACUCAGAAUUCUCACUCCAAUAAAAAAAGUAAAUGUGCGUGCAAUUUCCGCGUCCGGUGAAUCGCUCGAUACCUCCUGGGCCUAUUAAAUUCAACUUUUAUGCUACUAAUUACUUAAAUAAUUAAAUUAUAUUAAAAACUAAAAAGGACCGACAAAUCAAAAUGAUAGAGAAUCACCAACCUGCUGCAGUAGUGCUAGAGUCACUGGCGCGCCUGUUGGAAUUACAACAACAACAGUGAACCAUGAGUCUACUGCUUCUUCGUCUUCUUCUUCCAAUUCCAAAUUGAACAAAUUUGAUCGUCGAAGCCUCUUCGCCUUAACCUCCUCAGACACAAAAGCAACAUCUCAUCUCUUUUGCUCCAUCAGAUUACUAAUCAGUUCGUUCAUUCAUUUGAUUGAUUUCCAUCUUCGAAUAUUAUUUAAAAUUUUUCAUACGCAGAAAGUGAUCGGCAUCUAGAAUCGGAAUGGCGGCGGAGGCGAUCGCCUCGUCGGACGUGGUUUCGGGUGACAUGAUUUUUGAACCGGUUUUAGAGGAAGGAGUUUUCCGGUUCGAUUGUUCGGCGAGUGAUCGUCAAGCAGCGUAUCCGAGUCUCUCGUUUGUGAAUGGAAAGGAUAGGGACACGCCAAUCUCGACUCACAUGCGCCCUUUAUACACUCCAACUUAUCAAUGUGUCCGCGGUCAACAGAUAGUCAAACUUGAGGUUCACUCUCUGCGUACAUUGCCCUUUCUUAAUUUCUUUAGUAAUGCAUGUCUUUUUUUUUUUUUUUUUUCCAAGCUAGAUUAAUCUGAUGGCUUUUUGUUCUGAUUGUAGUUUCCUGCUGGUACCUCGUUGUAUGGAACUGGGGAAGUUAGUGGUCAGCUAGAGCGGACGGGAAAGAGAGUGAGUUCCUGUUUAUUUAUUUUUGGAUAUGACGUGCAGGGAGCCUUUACUUGUUCAACUACAAUGUGGUGAACUUUUUUCCUGUAGAUUUUUACAUGGAACACGGUUUCGGGGGGCUAUGGUACUGGAACAACGUCCUUGUAUCAGUCACAUCCUUGGGUGCUUGCCGUUCUUCCGAAUGGAGAGGCAUUGGGGGUUCUUGCUGACACAACACGUCGAUGUGAGGUGUGGCUUUCUUGUGAACUUUGAAAGUCAUGAUGUCUUGCUUUUGAGUUGUGUUUUGGUCCAUUGUGUGCUUGUUUUGUGUUUGGAAUCUCAUUAAUUAAAGGGCAAAUAUCAUUAACUCCUAGACUCCUGGCUAAAAUCAAGCAGCUUUAAGGUCUUUUUCUCUGUCUUCACAUGUGGCCAUGUUGGACUAAAGCGAAUAUACUUCAGAUUUCUCUCAAAACUAGCCUAUAGUGACUCUCAUAUUUGCUCCUAAUUUCCAAAGCUUACUUUUGUUCUUUCUGCUGUAUUUUAUUUCUUAGAUUGAUUAAUUGGUUUUUUCAGCAUUCUAUUGUUUGUCAGUUGAGGAAAUUGAUGGAUUGUAAUGAGGAAUUAAAUGAGAAACAUGCAAACAGUGUGGAGCAGCUUGAUUUCAGACUAAACCUUCAGGAGCUUGAUUGUAUUUUCCCUUUAAUUAAGUAGGCCCCAAAAUGAGAGAGGGAUGGGGGGUUGGGGUGGGGUUGUUGGAGGACAAAUUGCUAUUGUUGAGUAAAAAGUUAACCUAUUAUGAACUUUUGUGGUAACCCACAUGGAUCUAUCCUAACAGUCCUCUGUAUUUAUUCUCCUGCAGAUUGAUCUGAGGAAAGAAUCAACAAUACAGUUCAUUGCUCCAUCCUCAUAUCCUGUUAUUACAUUUGGCCCUUUCACUUCUCCUACUGAUGCUCUGGUUUCUCUUUCUCAUACAGUUGGUAAUCUCCUGGACCAAGCUUUCUCUUCUUCAAGUGCUCCAUGUCCUUGUCAAGUUUUUAUGAUGCCAAGAUAUCUUCCUCUGUCACAGUUCGCUCUUUCAUGAUUUUCAUGUUGAGUCAGGAAACAUAAUACAUAUAAUAUGUUCCUUUGUUUUUUGUGGUUUAAAGGGUAUCUAUUUUUCUUUUAACUCUUCCUUGAGUGAUGCAUGAGUUGAAUUCUGUGUUUCGUUGAGGUAUUUAGAUAUAGAUAUUUUGUUCUCAAAGCUUCUCUGCUAAUACAAUAAUAAGAGUAAUCCUAAUAAAAUAAAAGCAAUCCUUCUUGAAUCAAGCUUAAUGGACAGAGUGAUUAAAAGUGUGUUUCGUAUCAUUUUAAAAAACAGUUCUCAAACCUACUUAUGAAAAUGACAGUUGAUGUUCUUCAAAUGAUGUUUACCUGAUCAAAGAAUGCUUUUGGUAGUGACUGCUAUAAUUUUUU